rnacentral:rRNA from 1 species
UUGAACGUUGGGCUUGGGGGGCCGGUCCGCCAUUCGGCGAGUACUGGGUAACCGCCCGAGCCUUUCCUUCUGGCUAGGCGCCUUCGGGCGUUGAACCAGGAUUUUUACUUUGAAAAAAUUAGAGUGUUCAAAGCAGGCCUUUGCUCGAAUAGAUUAGCAUGGAAUAAUAGAAUAGGACGUUUAUGGUUCUAUUUUGUUGGUUUCUAGGACCAUCGUAAUGAUUAAUAGGGACGGUCGGGGGCAUCAGUAUUCAGUUGUCAGAGGUGAAAUUCUUGGAUUUACUGAAGACUAACUACUGCGAAAGCAUUUGCCAAGGACGUUUUCAUUAAUCAAGAACGAAAGUUAGGGGAUCGAAGAUGAUCAGAUACCGUCGUAGUCUUAACCAUAAACUAUGCCGACUAGGGAUCGGGCGGAGUUCUUUUUCUAAUAGACCCGCUCGGCACCUUACGAGAAAUCAAAGUUUUUGGGUUCUGGGGGGAGUAUGGUCGCAAGGCUGAAACUUAAAGGAAUUGACGGAAGGGCACCACCAGGAGUGGAGCCUGCGGCUUAAUUUGACUCAACACGGGGAAACUCACCAGGUCCAGACACAAUAAGGAUUGACAGAUUGAGAGCUCUUUCUUGAUUUUGUGGGUGGUGGUGCAUGGCCGUUCUUAGUUGGUGGAGUGAUUUGUCUGCUUAAUUGCGAUAACGAACGAGACCUUAACCUGCUAAAUAGUGGAGCCAGCGACUUUAGCUGGAGGAUCCACUUCUUAGAGGGACCAUCGGUGUCAAGCCGAAGGAAGUUUGAGGCAAUAACAGGUCUGUGAUGCCCUUAGACGUUCUGGGCCGCACGCGCGCUACACUGACGGAGCCAGCGAGUAAUAGCCUUGGCCGAGAGGUCUGGGUAAUCUUGAGAAACUCCGUCGUGCUGGGGAUAGAGCAUUGGAAUUAUUGCUCUUCAACGAGGAAUUCCUAGUAAGCGCGAGUCAUCAGCUCGCGUUGAUUACGUCCCUGCCCUUUGUACACACCGCCCGUCGCUAGUACCGAUUGAAUGGCUUAGUGAGGCCUCAGGAUUGGACCCGGGAGGGGGGCGACCCUCACCUGGGACCGAGAAUUUGGACAAACUUGGUCAUUUAGAGGAACUAAAAGUCGUAACAAGGUUUCCGUAGGUGAACCUGCGGAAG